rnacentral:rRNA from 1 species
CCCUUAGACGUUCUGGGCCGCACGCGCGCUACACUGACCAGUGCAACAAGCAUCCGUCCUUGGCCGACAGGCUCGGGCAAUCUUUGAACGCUGGUCGUGAUGGGGAUAGACUUUUGCAAUUUUUGGUCUUCAACGAGGAAUUCCUAGUAAAUGCAAGUCAUCAACUUGCAUUGAUUACGUCCCUGCCCUUUGUACACACCGCCCGUCGCACCUACCGAUUGAAUGGUCCGGUGAAGCCUCCGGAUUGGCGCGCACCUCGGUGCCGCCGAGAAGUUGGCUAAACCUUACCAUUUAGAGGAAGGUGAANUCGUAACA